rnacentral:misc_RNA from 1 species
GACAGAGGGUGCGAACGUUGCUCGGAAUCACUGGGCGUAAAGCGCGUGUAGGCGGGUGCUCAAGUCAGGUGUGAAAUCCCUGGGCUCAACCUAGGAACUGCAUCUGAAACUGGUCACCUAGAGUGCUGGAGAGGGAAGCGGAAUUCCUGGUGUAGAGGUGAAAUUCGUAGAUAUCAGGAGGAACACCGGUGGCGAAGGCGGCUUCCUGGACAGUCACUGACGCUGAGACGCGAAAGCGUGGGGAGCAAACAGG